rnacentral:rRNA from 1 species
UUUUUCCUCAAAUCAAGUAGGACUACCCGCUGAACUUAAGCAUAUCAAUAAGCGGAGGAAAAGAAACCAACAGGGAUUGCCUCAGUAACGGCGAGUGAAGCGGCAAAAGCUCAAAUUUGAAAUCCCCCCGGGGAGUUGUAAUUUGAAGAUUGCGUCUUGGAGGCGACCGUGUCUAUGUUCCUUGGAACAGGACGUCACAGAGGGUGA